rnacentral:misc_RNA from 1 species
GAUGAAGAACGCAGCGAAAUGCGAUAAGUAUUGUGAAUUGCAGAAUUCAGUGAAUCAUCGAAUCUUUGAACGCACAUUGCGCCCCUUGGUAUUCCGAGGGGCAUGCCUGUUCGAGCGUCAUUAUAACCCCUCAAGCUCAGCUUGGUGUUGGGGCCUGCUGCACUGGCAGCCCUUAAAAUCAGUGGCGGCGCCAUCUGGCUCUAAGCGUAGUAAUUCUUCUCGCUAUGGAGUCCUGGUGGAUGCUUGCCAUCAACCCCCAAUUUUUCUAUGGUUGACCUCGGAUCAGGUAGGGAUACCCGCUGAACUUAAGCAUAUCAAUAAGCGGAGGA